rnacentral:lncRNA from 1 species
AUGCAGAUGUUACGGAAGACAGAAAACCUGAAAGAUCAUUUCUUGGCAGAGUGCUCCCCAAGAAGACCUGACAGUGCUGCAGCUCCCAGGAUCAGGAGGCCUGCCAUUCAGGAAAUGCUGUGUGCAUGCAUGAUGGACGGAGGAAGAGUACACCCGGCAACCUCCACUCUCCUCCCACACGUGCCAUCCUCUGCCCAGAGCCAGGGCAUCAGCUUGGGUUUGGUGACGCAGCCUUGAAGGAAGGGUUAAGUGGCUGAAGCCCUCCACUGUAGCAGCUCUGGAUCUUGCACAAGCCCUGCCUCACCAAGUUGUCUUCUUGCCAAACUAGAGAGCGGCUGGCUCCUAAGGAGGCCUCUCUAAGCAGGUAACUUGAUGCCCUGCAGCCCAGCACCAGCCCACAUCUUGCCAGCAGUACCAGAAUUCUGAAGAGUUUAUGGCAGCACAGCAGGACCUGUGAGCAGUUUCCAGGGCCAGGAAAGGGUGGCUACCAGGAUCUCCAGGUCUGUGGGUGGGCAGAAUGUAAGGAUCAUGGACCCCUGCUCUUCACUAACCUGUUGUGUGACUUCGAGUAAAUCGAUUCCUCUCUCUGGUUUUCAUAUAAGAGAGUCUGACAGAUGGUCCCCAAAAGCUUGCAGAUGGACUCCUUGAUCUACAACAUCCCUUUCAGAUAAAGGCCUGACUGCUCUGUACCAUCAAGGGGCCUAGUGGCUGUGUGUCCCCUCCACUUGGCCUGGCCCUUCAAGUAGUAGAAAGAGCAGUUGCUGCCUUGAUUCUCAGCAUCUGUCAGAAGUCACAGAACAUUCCAAAUUUAAUGGAACUAUAUUGGGUUUAUUUCAUUUCCUUCAAGACAAUCAAGUGAGAUGAGAUUUUUCUCAACAACUGUAAUAAAGCUGAAGAGAAAAGUGGAUAUAGGACUCCACUCUGUACCUAAAUCUCUAAAGUUGAC